rnacentral:rRNA from 1 species
AACGAACGCUGGCGGCAUGCCUAACACAUGCAAGUCGAACGAGACCUGCGGGUUUAGUGGCGCACGGGGGCGUAACGGGUGGGAACCUGCCCUGGGGUUCGGAAUGACGCGCCGGAAGAGGUGCUAAUACCGGCGCAUGUACUCGGACCAAAGAUUUAUAGACAUUGGAUGGGCCCGGGUUGGAUUAGCUAGUUGGUAGGGUAAAAGGCUACCAAGGGGAGGAUGCAUAAAUGGUCUGUGAGGAUGGUCAGCCACACUGGUGCUGGGACACGGCCGAGAAUCCUACGGGAGGGAGGAGUGGGGAAUACUGGAAAAUGGGCGGAAGGCUGAUGCAGCAAGGCCGCGUGAGUGAUGAAGGCCGUAGGGUUGUAAAGUAAUUUUACCCGGGAUGAUAAUGACAGUACCGGGAGAAUAAGCUCCGGCUAACUCCGUG